CUCUGUCACUCCUACGGGAGGCAGCAGUGGGGAAUAUUGCACAAUGGGCGCAAGCCUGAUGCAGCCAUGCCGCGUGUGUGAAGAAGGCCUUCGGGUUGUAAAGCACUUUCAGCAGUGAGGAAGGCGGAGUCGUUAAUAGCGGCCUCGUUUGACGUUAGCUGCAGAAGAAGCACCGGCUAACUCCGUGCCAGCAGCCGCGGUAAUACGGAGGGUGCGAGCGUUAAUCGGAAUUACUGGGCGUAAAGCGCAUGCAGGUGGUUUGUUAAGUCAGAUGUGAAAGCCCGGGGCUCAACCUCGGAAUAGCAUUUGAAACUGGCAGACUAGAGUACUGUAGAGGGGGUAGAAUUUCAGGUGUAGCGGUGAAAUGCGUAGAGAUCUGAAGGAAUACCGGUGGCGAAGGCGGCCCCCUGGACAGAUACUGACACUCAGAUGCGAAAGCGUGGGGAGCAAACAGGAUUAGAUACCCUGGUAG
rnacentral:rRNA from 1 species